rnacentral:rRNA from 1 species
UACGUAGGGUGCGAGCGUUAAUCGGAAUUAUUGGGCGUAAAGGGCGCGUAGGCGGCUGUACAAGUCAAAGGUGAAAUCCCUCGGCUCAACUGAGGAACUGCCUUUGAAACUGUACGGCUUGAGGCCGGGAGGGGGUAGCGGAAUUCCCAGUGUAGCGGUGAAAUGCGUAGAUAUUGGGAGGAACACCAGUGGCGAAGGCGGCUACCUGGACCGGUUCUGACGCUGAGGCGCGAAAGCGUGGGUAGCAAACAGG